rnacentral:rRNA from 1 species
GAUGAACGCUAGCGGCAGGCUUAAUACAUGCAAGUCGAGGGGCAGCAUGAGUAGCAAUACUUGAUGGCGACCGGCAAACGGGUGCGGAACACGUACGCAACCUUCCUUUAAGUGGAGAAUAGCCCGGGGAAACCCGGAUUAAUACUCCGUAACAUUAUGAUGUGGCAUCACUUUAUAAUUAUAGAUUUAUCGCUUAAAGAUGGGCGUGCGCCUGAUUAGGUAGUUGGCGGGGUAAUAGCCCACCAAGCCUUCGAUCAGUAACUGGUGUGAGAGCACGACCAGUCACACGGGCACUGAGACACGGGCCCGACUCCUACGGGAGGCAGCAGUAAGGAAUAUUGGUCAAUGGACGCAAGUCUGAACCAGCCAUGCCGCGUGGAGGAUGAA